rnacentral:rRNA from 1 species
UCUGAGAGGAUGAUCCGCCACACUGGGACUGAGACACGGCCCAGACUCCUACGGGAGGCAGCAGUGGGGAAUAUUGGACAAUGGGCGCAAGCCUGAUCCAGCCAUGCCGCGUGUGUGAAGAAGGCCUUAUGGUUGUAAAGCACUUUAAGCGAGGAGGAGGCUACUUUAGUUAAUACCUAGAGAUAGUGGACGUUACUCGCAGAAUAAGCACCGGCUAACUCUGUGCCAGCAGCCGCGGUAAUACAGAGGGUGCAAGCGUUAAUCGGAUUUACUGGGCGUAAAGCGCGCGUAGGCGGCUAAUUAAGUCAAAUGUGAAAUCCCCGAGCUUAACUUGGGAAUUGCAUUCGAUACUGGUUAGCUAGAGUGUGGGAGAGGAUGGUAGAAUUCCAGGUGUAGCGGUGAAAUGCGUAGAGAUCUGGAGGAAUACCGAUGGCGAAGGCAGCCAUCUGGCCUAACACUGACGCUGAGGUGCGAAAGCAUGGGGAGCAAACAGGAUUAGAUACCCUGGUAGUCCAUGCCGUAAACGAUGUCUACUAGCCGUUGGGGCCUUU